UGAGCAAGUCGUGGCUCCACGUGCUAGG
rnacentral:piRNA from 1 species